GCGCGCGUGGCGGAACUGGUAGACGCGCUGGAUUUAGGUUCCAGUGCCUUUGGGCGUGAGGGUUCGAGUCCCUCCGUGCGCA
rnacentral:tRNA from 1 species